rnacentral:rRNA from 1 species
CGCCAGACUCCUACGGGAGGCAGCAGUGGGGAAUAUUGCACAAUGGGGGAAACCCUGAUGCAGCGACGCCGCGUGAGUGAAGAAGUAAUUCGUUAUGUAAAGCUCUAUCAGCAGGGAAGAAGAUGACGGUACCUGAGUAAGAAGCCCCGGCUAACUACGUGCCAGCAGCCGCGGUAAUACGUAGGGGGCAAGCGUUAUCCGGAUUUACUGGGUGUAAAGGGAGCGUAGACGGCAGUGCAAGUCUGGAGUGAAAGGCGGGGGCUCAACCCCCGGGACUGCUCUUGGAACUGCAUGGCUGGAGUACAGGAGGGGCAGGCGGAAUUCCUAGUGUAGCGGUGAAAUGCGUAGAUAUUAGGAGGAACACCGGUGGCGAAGGCGGCCUGCUGGACUGUGACUGACGUUGAGGCCCGAAGGCGUGGGGAGCAAACAGGAUUAGAUACCCCCGUACGG